GGGAAAUGUGUGGUGGUGAGCACAUGUCUGAUGAGCUCAACAGUCUCUUUAUCAAAGUGCUCUGACAUGAGGGCAACUGCAAGGUCGGAAGGUGUUGGAUGGCGCGUUCCACUCCACUAAUGAAGUCCUUGAGGACUGGAGCAAGGCAUGGAAUUUCACCAAUCAUACAUCAUCAAAUGUUAAGGUUAUUACAGAAUAACCACGGAUAGCAUUUGCAUUCAACAGCAGCAAAUUGUCCUGAAGUGACUUGCCACUCUCAUUCAAAUAUACAAAGCUCACUUCUUUACAGCAUUAGCAGCAAAAACUUGUAUAAAACAGCAGGUGGUCAUUUCCUAUCACCAAUGCUGCUAUCUAGUGGACUAUCUGUCUACUGCAUGUGAAUUAGUUUCCACACUGAUGGAUGUUUACCUGCCAUGCAACUUUUUUGUGCGCCAAAAACUAAUUUUUUAGCAUCUCUGAAAAGUGUGCAGAUAUUUUGCAAUUUUCAUCUGGAAGAUAUUUAACAUAACGAGUGUAACAAAAACUGAUUAACCCUUAACUGGCGACUUGCAGUCCUCAGAACAAAUUACAUCUUACUUUUUUUUCAAGAUCAUGGCUUGCAGUGGUCUCUUAAUCCCAUUCUUUCUUACUUUCGCUUAUAUGUCUACUCAUAUUUCUUUCCAUUCCUCCAUCAUUUGAUACAGACUGUACCUGGAAAUUUAGUCUGGCGAAGGAGACCACACGUUACUAGUUUUAGGGUGGGCAUGGAGACUUCAAAGUGGGUUACAAUUCGUGAUCCCAAUUUUGAAGAAGUGCUUG